UCAAAAGUGGCUGCCACCAACCUUCUUCACCAACCACCUCUCACCAACCACCUCUCACCUACCACCUCCAAAUCUUCCUAUAAAUAGAGAGCUCUUCUGCAGCAUCCAUCACAACAACACAACACACCAAACAACCAUCAAAGCUUUCUGCUAGAGAGAGAUAGAGAAAGAGAGAGAGAGAGAAAAAUCUUGUGAGAGAAAACUUCAGUGUGGAAGUUAUACACGAGUGAUAAAAGUGAGUUGAGAGAUAGCCUCUGCGUAGGCAUAUACAAAAUACAGUGUGGUAUUUUUGUUGUACUCCUCUUUUUGAGAUUCUCUAAUAUAUUGGUGUGGGUCCGUGGACGUAGGCAGUUUGGCCGAACCACGUUAAAAAUAUCGGUGUCAUUUAUUUUUCUAGUUUCAUAUCGGUCGAUAUCCAAAAUAUUGCGUCACACUAGAUCCCGGGCGGAAUUAGUUGCGUCUAAUUUCC
rnacentral:lncRNA from 1 species